rnacentral:rRNA from 1 species
CAGUCGCCGCGGUAAUACGGAGGGUGCAAGCGUUAAUCGGAAUUACUGGGCGUAAAGGGUGCGUAGGUGGUGGUUUAAGUCCGUUGUGAAAGCCCUGGGCUCAACCUGGGAAUUGCAGUGGAUACUGGGUCACUAGAGUGUGGUAGAGGAUAGUGGAAUUUCCGGUGUAGCAGUGAAAUGCGUAGAUAUGCGGAGGAACACCGAUGGCGAAGGCAGCCCCCUGGGCCAACACUGACGCUCAUGCACGAAAGCGUGGGGAGCAAACAGGAUUAGAUACCCGAGUAGUCCCUGUCUCUUAUAC